GGCCCCAUAGCUCAGUGGUUAGAGCACUGAUUUUGUAAGCCAGGGGUUGUGGGUUCAUAUCCCACUGGGGCCU